GGUUGUGGCUCAAUGGUAGAGCGCUCGCCUAGCACAUGUGAGGCACUGGGUUGGAUCCUCAGCACCA
rnacentral:tRNA from 1 species